GAUGAACGCUGGCGGCGUGCCUAAUACAUGCAAGUCGAGCGAACGGACGAGAAGCUUGCUUCUCUGAUGUUAGCGGCGGACGGGUGAGUAACACGUGGAUAACCUACCUAUAAGACUGGGAUAACUUCGGGAAACCGGAGCUAAUACCGGAUAAUAUUUUGAACCGCAUGGUUCAAAAGUGAAAGACGGUCUUGCUGUCACUUAUAGAUGGAUCCGCGCUGCAUUAGCUAGUUGGUAAGGUAACGGCUUACCAAGGCAACGAUGCAUAGCCGACCUGAGAGGGUGAUCGGCCACACUGGAACUGAGACACGGUCCAGACUCCUACGGGAGGCAGCAGUAGGGAGUCUUCCGCAAUGGGCGAAAGCCUGACGGAGCAACGCCGCGUGAGUGAUGAAGGUCUUCGGAUCGUAAAACUCUGUUAUUAGGGAAGAACAUAUGUGUAAGUAACUGUGCACAUCUUGACGGUACCUAAUCAGAAAGCCACGGCUAACUACGUGCCAGCAGCCGCGGUAAUACGUAGGUGGCAAGCGUUAUCCGGAAUUAUUGGGCGUAAAGCGCGCGUAGGCGGUUUUUUAAGUCUGAUGUGAAAGCCCACGGCUCAACCGUGGAGGGUCAUUGGAAACUGGAAAACUUGAGUGCAGAAGAGGAAAGUGGAAUUCCAUGUGUAGCGGUGAAAUGCGCAGAGAUAUGGAGGAACACCAGUGGCGAAGGCGACUUUCUGGUCUGUAACUGACGCUGAUGUGCGAAAGCGUGGGGAUCAAACAGGAUUAGAUACCCUGGUAGUCCACGCCGUAAACGAUGAGUGCUAAGUGUUAGGGGGUUUCCGCCCCUUAGUGCUGCAGCUAACGCAUUAAGCACUCCGCCUGGGGAGUACGACCGCAAGGUUGAAACUCAAAGGAAUUGACGGGGACCCGCACAAGCGGUGGAGCAUGUGGUUUAAUUCGAAGCAACGCGAAGAACCUUACCAAAUCUUGACAUCCUUUGACAACUCUAGAGAUAGAGCCUUCCCCUUCGGGGGACAAAGUGACAGGUGGUGCAUGGUUGUCGUCAGCUCGUGUCGUGAGAUGUUGGGUUAAGUCCCGCAACGAGCGCAACCCUUAAGCUUAGUUGCCAUCAUUAAGUUGGGCACUCUAAGUUGACUGCCGGUGACAAACCGGAGGAAGGUGGGGAUGACGUCAAAUCAUCAUGCCCCUUAUGAUUUGGGCUACACACGUGCUACAAUGGACAAUACAAAGGGCAGCGAAACCGCGAGGUCAAGCAAAUCCCAUAAAGUUGUUCUCAGUUCGGAUUGUAGUCUGCAACUCGACUACAUGAAGCUGGAAUCGCUAGUAAUCGUAGAUCAGCAUGCUACGGUGAAUACGUUCCCGGGUCU
rnacentral:rRNA from 1 species